CCUACGGUGGGCAGCAGUGGGGGAUAUUGCACCAUGGGGGAAACCCUGAUGCAGCGACGCCGCGUGUGGGAAGACGGUCCUCUGGAUUGUAAACCACUGUCCCCAGGGACGAAGAUGACGGUACCGGGGGAGGAAGCUCCGGCUAACGACGUGCCAGCAGCCGCGGUAAUACGUAGGGAGCGAGCGUUGUCCGGAAUUACUGGGUGUAAAGGGAGCGUAGGCGGGACUGCAAGUUGGGUGUCAAAUCUACCGGCUCAACCGGUAGCCGCACUCAAAACUGCAGUUCUUGAGUGAAGUAGAGGCAGGCGGAAUGCCUGGUGUAGCGGUGAAAUGCGUAGAGAUUAGGAGGAACACCAGUGGCGAAGGCGGCCUGCUGGGCUUUUACUGACGCUGAGGCUCGAAAGUGUGGGGAGCAAACAGGAUUAGAUACCCUUGUAGUC
rnacentral:rRNA from 1 species